AGCUUAAAGUAAAAACGUCAUGGGAGGGAUAGAAAAAGAAAGAAAGAUAGGAAAGAAUCUUCCCCCGUAUAUUAAGCCAUCAUUCAAUAAAGCGUCGUGACAUCAAAAUGUGAGAUUGAAGCCUUCUCCUUCGCAUUUGCUUCUUAGCUUAAAUAGCUUAUAGGCUUCUUUCCUUCCUGCACUCAUUCACUCCAGUGGUAAGGGCUUGGAAGCCUUUGAUGGAAUGGUAUAGUUGAACUAGGCUUUUCACCAGCCAUUCCUAUAGUAGGUCUACCGUGAGUGGAAAGAAGGCAACGAUUAAUCUUUUAUAAGCCCUCACUCUUAUAAAAGCCCGAACUCAUUGCCUACCACGAAUUCAAGAGGGGACUCCUUGUCAAAGAAAGGAAUGACAGUGGGUUCCAUAGAGCUUCUCAUAGAAAUACAAAAAGAAAAGAAAGGACUGACUUAAAGCAUUCCCCUUCACCCUUUCAAUAAAAUGCUUAUGAAGUAGCUUAGCCGACUCAAGGGUACUGAUUUAUAGGCGAAGAAGGAGAAGGAAGGUAGUUAGCUUUAGCUUAAGAUAAGAAAGAAAAAGCUAGUCAGCGAAGGGAAAUGAGCAGAGAAGUCAAUGCACCAGAUCCCGAUCCUUUAGCCACCUAAGAAAAUGGAGUUGAAGGAAAGCAGAAUCAUACAGAACAGGUUGAAGAGAGCUCUAACAGGCCUUGGAGGACCGAACCCACAUAUGUGGCAAAAUACGGGGAUGACUUGUGGCUAGGGGUGAAAGGCCAACCAAGAUCGAAUAUAGCUAGUUUUUCGUGAAAUCUAUUUCAGUAGAGCGUAUGAUGUCGAUGGCCCAAGGUAGAGCACUCAAUGGGCUAGGGUGGCCCCAUUUCGCCUUACCAACCCCAGGGAAACUUUGAAUACAAGCCUAGAUCAUUUGUACAGACAAACUUUAGGGUGCUAAGAUCCAAAGUCGAGAGGAAAACAGCCCAGAUCGUAUGCUAAGGUCCCAAAGCAAUCCCUUAGUGGAAAAGGAAGUGAUCGAGCGAUGACAACCAGGAGGUGGGCUUUGAAGCAGCCAUCCUUUGAAGAAAGCGUAAUAGCUCACUAGUCUAGCUCCAUGGCACCGAAAAUGUAUCAGGGCUCAAGUGAUUCACCGAAGCUACGACACCUUGAAAGUUGCUUUUUCAAGUGUCAGUAGCGAGACGUUCUACCAAUCGGGGAAGGUUUUUGGUGACAAAACUUGGAGAUAUUAGAAGUGAGAAUGCUGACAUGAGUAAUGAGAAAUCCUGUGAAAAACAUGAUCACCUUCCAGUGGAAGGCUUUCUAUGCUCAGUCAAUCUAUGUAGAGUGAAUCGGUCCCUAAGGAAGCCCCAACCUCAAAAGGGAUGUCGUCCGAUGGGUACACGAAAGUGACGAAGUUUCUUUGACUAUAGAACCAUGCCUGUCUGUUGGAGUGAAUUGGAUGAUUAGGCCGAGGGCUGCCCCCUUUCCCCUCACUCUCCUUUCCCUAAUAUGAACCUUGCUUGAGUCAUCAAAGCCUUUCUGACUCGGCUUGGCUCGAUCGUCCUACGCGACUAGCACUUCAAAAGGUAGUUGACUUGCUUACUCGUUAAAGUAGGGGUCGCGAGAGAGCAGAGCGUACCGCCCUGCCAUAGUAGCGAGUCUGUUUAUAGUCGCGACUGUUGUCAUAGUCAACCAGGUUGAAACUUCCAGGAAAAAACUUUGAAUUGGGAGGGCAAUCCUCCCGGUGAACUGACCGUACCCCAAUCCAUCCUCCCGGUGAACUGACCGUACCCCAAACCGACACAGAUGAACAAGUAGAGUAUACUAGGGCGCUUGAGAGAACCAUGUCGAAGGAACUCGACAAAAUGACCCCGUAACUUCGGGAGAAGGGGUGCUCUCCUAUCUUUUGAUUAGGAAAGCGGCACAUACUAGGGGUUAGCGACUGUUUAUUAAAAACACAAGACUCUACUAAGUGGUAACACGAUGUAUAGAGUCUGACACCUGCCCGAUGCUGGAAGGUCGAAAGGAGAAGUGUUAUAAGCUUUGAGUGGAAGCCCUGAUAAACAGUGACAGUAACUCUAACUAUCCUAAGGUAGCGAAGUUCCUUGUUGCAUAAGUAGCGACCUGCACGGAUGGUGUAACAACUGUCCCCCUGUCUCUGACAUGGACCCGGUGAAAUUGAAUUCUCCGUGAAGAUGAAGAGUACCAACGGCUAGACGGUAAUACCCCGUGCACCUUAACUAUAGCUUCGCAGUGACAACCUUGAUCGAAUGUGUAGGAUAGGUGGGAGGUGAUGACACAGAACAACCAAUCCUGAAAGACCAAUCUUUCGUCUAAGGAUGCCUAACCGCUGCACCCAAAAUUUGGGGGGGGGGACACUGCGAGGUGGGUAGUUUAUUUGGGGCGGAUGCCUCCUAAAGAGUAACAGAGGUGUGCGAAGGUAGGCUCAAGCUAAGAUUCUACUCGUGAGCGUAAUGGUAUAAGCCUGCCUGACUGUGAGACCGACUAGUUGAACAGAGAUGAAAGUCAGCCAUAGUGAUCUGGGAGUCCCGUGUAGAAGGGCUCUUGCUCAAUGGAUCAAAGGUACGCCAGGGAUAACAAGCUGAUGACUCGCAAGAGCUCUUAUCGACGGAGUCAUUUGGCACCUCGAUGUCAACUCAUCACAUCCUGGAGUUGAAGAAGGUCCCAAGGGUUCGGUUGUUCGUCGAUUCAAGUGGUAUGUGAGUUGGGUUUAGAACAUCGUGAGACAGUUCGGUUCCUAUCUACUGUUGGUGUUAAAGGGAGAACUGCGAGGAGCCAACCCUAGUACGAGAGGACUAGGUUGGGCCAACCUAUGGUGUACUGGUUGUUUUGCCGGGCUGUUAAGUUGGUAUGGAAGAACUAUUGCACCGCGGGAAAUCCUUACAAGUUCUCGGACGAGGUUUUUGAACAUAACUUCAAUAGGCGAGAGGUGUAAGCACCGAGAGGUGUGAAGCAAUCUCGUACUAAAUGAGACAACUUUCACUU
rnacentral:rRNA from 1 species